GUGCCAGCCGCCGCGGUAAGACGAACCGUGCAAACGUUAUUCGGAAUCACUGGGCUUAAAGCGUGCGUAGGCGGCUCAGAAAGUUGGGUGUGAAAUCCCUCGGCUCAACCGAGGAAUUGCGCUCAAAACUACUGAGCUCGAGGGAGUUAGAGGUGAGCGGAACUAAUGGUGGAGCGGUGAAAUGCGUUGAUAUCAUUAGGAACACCGGUGGCGAAAGCGGCUCACUGGGACUCUUCUGACGCUGAGGCACGAAAGCUAGGGUAGCGAACGGGAUUAGAUACCCCAGUAGUCC
rnacentral:rRNA from 1 species